GGCUGGAAAGUUGCAUGAAUGGUUAAGAGACCGUCCAUGACAGGAAAAAAAAUGCCGCAUGGGGAUUGACACACAGCCACUCUCUUCAAUUGCCUUCCUUCAAGCUGAGAUUCAGUAUCUUUCACAGGCUUCAACAUCUUGUUUGAACUUCCUUGUGUAAGCGGCGUGGGGAUCUCUGUCAUGAUAAAUGAAUGCCGUUUGGAUUGAUUAAGUUGACUGGCUGCCAAAUCUUCCGUUUGCUUAUCUCGGAUAAAAAAGACACUGCACAAGGAUCCGGAGUGGAAAUGAUAUAUGCCGCUUUCAAGUAGCAAGAACUGUCACAGAAAUUGCCCAGAGCUGCAAUCAGCUGCCCUGACCUCGCUUAUCGAGCAUGGAUUUGGAAGGAUUCCAAAGGAGGAAAGCUGGCUUCCACCCAAGCAGUCUAUUCCAUGGUUCAAUAGUGACAAUCUUCCAUUGCUUGCAGUGUCUGUUUGGUGACUGUUAAAGUAGGAUUGAGGGACGUUUAUGAAAUAAUAUCAUAAUUGUGAAUUCAUAGCCUUCAUGAAAACAAAUCAGUUAUGGAUCCAUAACUUUAGGAUAGGAAUCCACGAGUGCACUACUGAAUUCCAGCCAUUAACUUUAAUAAAUUCUUCAAUAUGAACUGAAA